AGGGAAUCUUCGGCAAUGGACGGAAGUCUGACCGAGCAACGCCGCGUGAGUGAAGAAGGUUUUCGGAUCGUAAAGCUCUGUUGUAAGAGAAGAACGAGUGUGAGGGUGGAAAGUUCACACUGUGACGGUAUCUUACCAGAAAGGGACGGCUAACUACGUGCCAGCAGCCGCGGUAAUACGUAGGUCCCGAGCGUUGUCCGGAUUUAUUGGGCGUAAAGCGAGCGCAGACGGUUAGAUAAGUCUGAAGUUAAAGGCUGUGGCUUAACCAUAGUACGCUUUGGAAACUGUUUAACUUGAGUGCAAGAGGGGAGAGUGGAAUUCCAUGUGUAGCGGUGAAAUGCGUAGAUAUAUGGAGGAACACCGGUGGCGAAAGCGGCUCUCUGGCUUGUAACUGACGCUGAGGCUCGAAAGCGUGGGGAGCAAACAGGAUUAGAUACCCUGGUAGUCCACGCCGUAAACGAUGAGUGCUAGGUGUUAGACCCUUUCCGGGGUUUAGUGCCGCAGCUAACGCAUUAAGCACUCCGCCUGGGGAGUACGACCGCAAGGUUG
rnacentral:rRNA from 1 species